GAGAGAGAGAGAGAGAGAAGUGCUAGGACAGAACCAUGGCAACUUCACUUUUGAGUAUUAGCUUUUACAAAGGGAUUCUGCGCAGAAAGAAACCCUAACCAAGGGGUUUUUUUUAUUUUUCGAUAUGGAUUUUUAGUCCAACCCUAACAGCUCUAUUUCUUUUGUUAUCUUCCCAUCUUCUCACUUAACAAUAUUCAUUCACUCGUUUGUUCACAUUUUUUUUUUACUAAACAUAUUCAUGUAUGUUAAUCUUUCUACUUCUAAAUUUCUUUUCCUUACAGCAUUCCUAUAAAUAUAUUUCACAACCAAAUCCUUUACUUUCAUCUAUGGAUCCAACACAUCCAUUAAUUAAAAACAAUCAUUGAUAACUGAUUCAGUUCUACUAGAUCAGUAUAACACUUAAAGCUUAAUAUCACCUUACUAGUAAUAUCUUUAGCUGUUUAACCAGUACCAAGAACUGGAAUCUAAAUACUCAAUUCAACAACUCCGAAGACCUUAUUAGCCCAAAAAUUAACUAUCAACAAGCGUCUAAAAAAUCUAUUACCUAUGCUCUGAUACCAUAAAUGUCACACCUAUUCCCUUUUUCCCUAGGAAUGAAUAUACCUAAAAUCUAUUAGUGUUAAAUUGAAAAUUCCAUGUAUUUGAUUAUUGAAAAUUCCAUGUAUUUGAUUAUUGAAAAUUCUAUAACCAAAGCUAUUAUUAUAAUACCUUCCACUAUUUAAAAUACAUAAAAUUUUGAAUCUUCUAAGCAACUAUAACACAGUGUUCUAAGAAAUUAACAAUCAAAUUCAAACACUAAGCAUUAAAAAAUUGAAUAAAUAAAAUAAAGGAAACAGAAUUUAC
rnacentral:misc_RNA from 1 species